GUGGACACACAGUUUAAAAUGAUGGACUACAGGACAGGACUGCUGCUGUUAACUAUCUGCUGGGCAGGUGUUGCUGCUCAGACGCUGACAGAAUCUGAGCCAGUUAUUAAAAGGCCUGGAGAAUCCCACAAAUUGACUUGUACAGCCUCUGGAUUCACAUUUAGUGACUACUACAUGCACUGGAUCAGACAGGCUCCUGGAAAAGGACUGGAGUGGGUCUCCAGAAUUGAAAGUGGUAGUGGUAGCAGCAAACUCUACUCUGAGUCAGUUAAAGGCCGGUUCACCAUCUCCAGAGACAACAGCAGACAGCAGCUGUAUCUGCAGAUGAACAGUCUGAAGACUGAAGAUUCUGCUGUUUAUUAUUGUGCACGAUACCCACAGUGA